rnacentral:lncRNA from 1 species
AUGUUAUUUGUCUAUUUACAAGCGUUCUAUUUCUUAUCGUGAUUAAAAACUCUCCUUUUAGUUAGACCUGGUGACAGUGAUGCACCCCUGUGAUCUCCAGCACCCAGAGAAGUCCUGGGAAGAGAAUCGGAAGUUCAAGGCCAGCCAGGACAACCUAGUGAGACCCUGUCUCAAAUAAAAUAAGAAAAGGUCAAAUAGUACAAAAACCAAAACAAAACCAUUAACUGAGGUUCGGGAAACACUUCUUUGAAUCCAUUCCAUCAUUCUGCACAUCAGGGAACAAAGGUUUGGAGAAGAUAAGAAGCUAAGCGAGGACAUUGUUCUCAGGCAAGCCUGCGCAGCCUCGGACUGUCUGGCUUGAAACAAGAAGAUAUUGACGACAGGAGAAAGAACUGCAGGGGAGCCCGAAUCCAGUGAAACAGGGACCUGACCUUUCCCGGCUCAUGGCCCCAGAGCUCUCAGCCCUCCCUCACGCUGCAUUCCAGGACAUCAUCUCACUGUGCUGGUUAGAACUUCUGAGAUCCAACUCCUGCCCAGCCUUCUGACUAGCUGGAACCACAGCUCCGCCUCUGAAAUGCGCUGUCCAUCAAGUCGUCAACGAACUCUAAUUGGCUAAUUCUACACAAGGUGCUAGAACGCCCUGCCCACUUCCGCCCCAGCAGAAAUAAACGAUAGGGCACCCGUGUCA